UUCCAGACUCCUACGGGAGGCAGCAGUGGGGGAUAUUGCACAAUGGGGGGAACCCUGAUGCAGCGACGCCGCGUGGGUGAAGAAGCGCCUCGGCGCGUAAAGCCCUGUCAGCAGGGAAGAAAAUGACGGUACUUGAAGAAGAAGCCCCGGCUAACUACGUGCCAGCAGCCGCGGUAAUACGUAUGGUGCAAGCGUUAUCCGGAUUUACUGGGUGUAAAGGGAGCGCAGGCGGCGCGCUAAGCCUGGUGUGAAAGCCCGCGGCCCAACCGCGGGACUGCAUUGGGAACUGGCGCGCUGGAGUGCCGGAGGGGUAGGCGGAAUUCCUAGUGUAGCGGUGAAAUGCGUAGAUAUUAGGAGGAACACCAGUGGCGAAGGCGGCCUACUGGACGGUGACUGACGCUGAGGCUCGAAAGCGUGGGGAGCAAACAGGAUUAGAUACCCUUGUAA
rnacentral:rRNA from 1 species